GACAGAGGACGCAAGCGUUGUUCGGAUUUACUGGGCGUAAAGGGCGUGUAGGCGGACUGCUAAGUCGGGGGUGAAAUCCCAGGGCUCAACCCGGGAAUGUCUCCCGAAACUGACAGUCUAGAGAGAGCUAGAGGCAGGUGGAAUUCCCGGUGUAGAGGUGAAAUUCGUAGAGAUCGGGAGGAACACCGGCGGCGAAGGCGGCCUGCUGGGGCUUUUCUGACGCUGAGGCGCGAAAGCGUGGGGAGCAAACAGG
rnacentral:rRNA from 1 species